GACGAACGCUGGCGGCGUGCUUAACACAUGCAAGUCGAACGCUGAAGCUUGGUGCUUGCACUGGGUGGAUGAGUGGCGAACGGGUGAGUAAUACGUGAGUAACCUGCCCUUGACUCUGGGAUAAGCCUGGGAAACUGGGUCUAAUACUGGAUACGACAUGUCACCGCAUGGUGGUGUGUGGAAAGGGUUUUCUUGGUUUUGGAUGGGCUCACGGCCUAUCAGCUUGUUGGUGGGGUAAUGGCUCACCAAGGCGACGACGGGUAGCCGGCCUGAGAGGGUGACCGGCCACACUGGGACUGAGACACGGCCCAGACUCCUACGGGAGGCAGCAGUGGGGAAUAUUGCACAAUGGGCGAAAGCCUGAUGCAGCGACGCCGCGUGAGGGAUGACGGCCUUCGGGUUGUAAACCUCUUUCAGCAAGGAAGAAGCGAAAGUGACGGUACGUGCAGAAGAAGCGCCGGCUAACUACGUG
rnacentral:rRNA from 1 species